rnacentral:rRNA from 1 species
UACGUAGGGGUGCAAGCGUUUGUCCGGAAUUAUUGGGGCGUAAAGAGCUUGUAGGCGGUUUGUCGCGUCUGCUGUGAAAUUUCGGGGCUCAACCCCCGAACUUGCAGUGGGUACGGGCAGACUAGAGUGUGGUAGGGGGAGACUGGAAUUCCUGGUGUAGCGGUGAAAUGCGCAGAUAUCAGGAGGAACACCGAUGGCGAAGGCAGGUCUCUGGGCCACUACUGACGCUGAGAAGCGAAAGCAUGGGGGAGCGAACAGG